rnacentral:tRNA from 1 species
GGAGAGGUGCUGGAGUGGUCGAUCAGGCACGACUGGAAAUCGUGUAGGCGCUAACACCGUCUCGAGGGUUCGAAUCCCUCCCUCUCCG